rnacentral:rRNA from 1 species
UCGAGCGAGCUCUUCGGAGCUAGCGGCGGACGGGUUAGUAACGCGUGGGAACGUGCCCUUCACUGCGGAAUAGCCACUGGAAACGGNGAGUAAUACCGCNUACGCCCUUCGGGGGAAAGAUUUAUCGGUGAAGGAUCGGCCCGCGUUANAUUANAUAGUUGGUGGGGUAACGGCCUACCAAGUCUACGAUCUAUAGNUGGUUUUAGAGGAUGAUCAGCAACACUGGGACUGAGACACGGCCCAGACUCCUACGGGAGGCAGCAGUGGGGAAUCUUGGACAAUGGGCGCAAGCCUGAUCCAGCCAUGCCGCGUGAGUGAUGAAGGCCUUAGGGUCGUAAAGCUCUUUCGCCAGANAUGAUAAUGACAGUAUCUGGUAAAGAAACCCCGGCUAACUCCGUGCCAGCAGCCGCGGUAAUACGGAGGGGGUUAGCGUUGUUCGNAAUUACUGGGCGUAAAGCGCACGUAGGCGGAUCAGAAAGUUGGGGGUGAAAUCCCGGGGCUCANCCCCGGAACUGCCUCCAAAACUCCUGGUCUUGAGUUCGAGAGAGGUGAGUGGAAUUCCGAGUGUAGAGGUGAAAUUCGUAGAUAUUCGGAGGAACACCAGUGGCGAAGGCGGCUCACUGGCUCGAUACUGACGCUGAGGUGCGAAAGUGUGGGGAGCAAACAGGAUUANAUACCCUGGUAGUCCACACCGUAAACGAUGAAUGCCAGUCGUCGGGUAGCAUGCUAUUCGGUGACACACCUAACGGAUUAAGCAUUCCGCCUGGGGAGUACGGUCGCAAGAUUAAAACUC